rnacentral:rRNA from 1 species
UCCAGACUCCUACGGGAGGCAGCAGUGGGGGAUAUUGCACAAUGGGGGAAACCCUGAUGCAGCGACGCCGCGUGAGUGAAGAAGUAUUUCGGUAUGUAAAGCUCUAUCAGCAGGGAAGAAAAGAAUGACGGUACCUGAAUAAGAAGCCCCGGCUAACUACGUGCCAGCAGCCGCGGUAAUACGUAGGGGGCAAGCGUUAUCCGGAUUUACUGGGUGUAAAGGGAGCGCAGACGGCAAUGCAAGCCUGGAGUGAAAGGCGGGGGCCCAACCCCCGGACUGCUCUGGGAACUGUAUAGCUAGAGUGCAGGAGAGGCAAGUGGAAUUCCUAGUGUAGCGGUGAAAUGCGUAGAUAUUAGGAGGAACACCAGUGGCGAAGGCGGCUUGCUGGACUGUAACUGACGUUGAGGCUCGAAAGCGUGGGGAGCAAACAGGAUUAGAUACCCGUGUA